rnacentral:rRNA from 1 species
UACGGGGGGGGCAAGCGUUGUUCGGAAUUACUGGGCGUAAAGGGCUCGUAGGCGGCCAACUAAGUCAGACGUGAAAUCCCUCGGCUUAACCGGGGAACUGCGUCUGAUACUGGUUGGCUUGAGUGUGGGAGAGGGAUGCGGAAUUCCAGGUGUAGCGGUGAAAUGCGUAGAUAUCUGGAGGAACACCGGUGGCGAAGGCGGCAUCCUGGACCAUUACUGACGCUGAGGAGCGAAAGCCAGGGGGA